rnacentral:rRNA from 1 species
UACGUAGGGUGCAAGCGUUAAUCGGAAUUACUGGGCGCAAAGCGUGCGCAGGUGGUUCGGUAAGACAGUUGUGAAAUCCCCGGGCUUAACCUGGGAACUGCAAUUGUGACUGGCGGACUAGAGUUUGGCAGAGGGGGGUGGAAUUCCUGGUGUAGCAGUGAAAUGCGUAGAUAUCAGGAGGAACACCGAUGGCGAAGGCAGCCACCUGGGCCAUGACUGACACUCAUGCACGAAAGCGUGGGGAGCAGACACG